UACGUAGGGGGCAAGCGUUAUCCGGAUUCACUGGGUUUAAAGGGUGCGUAGGCGGGUAAGUAAGUCCGUGGUGAAAUCUCUGAGCUUAACUCAGAAACUGCCGUGGAUACUAUUUGCCUUGAAUAUUGUGGAGGUGAGCGGAAUAUGUCAUGUAGCGGUGAAAUGCUUAGAUAUGACAUAGAACACCAAUUGCGAAGGCAGCUCACUACACAAUCAUUGACGCUGAGGCACGAAAGCGUGGGGAUCAAACAGG
rnacentral:rRNA from 1 species